AAGUCGUAACAAGGUUUCCGUAGGUGAACCUGCGGAAGGAUCAUUAACACGUAUCCAACGUUAAAACCCCCCCGUGAACCUUCAGUGUGCUCGUACGCUUUGUUAGAAAGUAGCAACCCCUGGUAAAUCAUCGCCGAACAGUUUUGAUUCAGGGACUUCUGCGAAGAGCGUGCUUGUAGCGCGAGGCAAGUGGCUGGCAUCCUUGUCUGAAAGUGUCAAGGGUGGCGCAGUCGAUCGCUAGAGGCCGACACGGCCGGCGACCGGGUCACCGGGCUCACGCCCCUUAACGGGCCUGCACUUAAUUGUGCGGCCAUAAACCGAACAACUGUUAAAUGGAUAUCUUGGUUC
rnacentral:misc_RNA from 1 species